AGGACGAACGCUGGCGGCGUGCUUAACACAUGCAAGUCGAGCGGAAAGGCCCUUCGGGGUACUCGAGCGGCGAACGGGUGAGUAACACGUGGGCAACCUGCCCUUAGCUCUGGGAUAGCUCCGGGAAACCGGAAUUAAUACCGGAUAUGACCUAGGCCAACAUCGGCCGUGGUGGAAAGUUUUUCGGCUAGGGAUGGACUCGCGGCCUAUCAGCUAGUUGGUGGGGUAAUGGCCUACCAAGGCGACGACGGGUAGCCGGCCUGAGAGGGCGACCGGCCACACUGGGACUGAGACACGGCCCAGACUCCUACGGGAGGCAGCAGUGGGGAAUCUUGCGCAAUGGGCGAAAGCCUGACGCAGCGACGCCGCGUGGGGGAUGAAGGCCUUCGGGUUGUAAACCCCUUUCAGCAGGGACGAAGCGAAAGUGACGGUACCUGCAGAAGAAGCGCCGGCUAACUACGUGCCAGCAGCCGC
rnacentral:rRNA from 1 species